GAUGAACGCUGGCGGCGUGCCUAAUACAUGCAAGUCGAGCGAACAGACGAGGAGCUUGCUCCUCUGACGUUAGCGGCGGACGGGUGAGUAACACGUGGAUAACCUACCUGUAAGACUGGGAUAACUUCGGGAAACCGGAGCUAAUACCGGAUAAUAUAUUGAACCGCAUGGUUCAAUAGUGAAAGACGGUUUUGCUGUCACUUAUAGAUGGAUCCGCGCCGCAUUAGCUAGUUGGUAAGGUAACGGCUUACCAAGGCAACGAUGCGUAGCCGACCUGAGAGGGUGAUCGGCCACACUGGAACUGAGACACGGUCCAGACUCCUACGGGAGGCAGCAGUAGGGAAUCUUCCGCAAUGGGCGAAAGCCUGACGGAGCAGCGCCGCGUGAGUGAUGAAGGUCUUCGGAUCGUAAAACUCUGUUAUUAGGGAAGAACAAAUGUGUAAGUAACUAUGCACGUCUUGACGGUACCUAAUCAGAAAGCCACGGCUAACUACGUG
rnacentral:rRNA from 1 species